AUGGACAUCACAUGUUCGAUAGUUAUUUUAUUUUAUGGGGGUUCGUAUACCUUCCAUACUUGUAUCAUAUUUUCUACUGUACUCCGUAUUUUUUAUUAUGAAUACUUUUUAAACCCAUUUGUGACUCAAUGCAUAAGCAUAUUUAUGAGUGGUCAACGGCUAUCAAUUGUCUUUGAAUCCAUUCAUCAACCGAAGCACCAAAAUAUCAUUGUUGUACACAUAAAUUUUUAG